GACGAACGCUGGCGGCGUGCCUAAUACAUGCAAGUCGAGCGCAGGAAAUCGACGGAACCCUUCGGGGGGAAGUCGACGGAAUGAGCGGCGGACGGGUGAGUAACACGUAAAGAACCUGCCCUCAGGUCUGGGAUAACCACGAGAAAUCGGGGCUAAUACCGGAUGGGUCAUCGGACCGCAUGGUCCGAGGAUGAAAGGCGCUUCGGCGUCGCCUGGGGAUGGCUUUGCGGUGCAUUAGCUAGUUGGUGGGGUAAUGGCCCACCAAGGCGACGAUGCAUAGCCGACCUGAGAGGGUGAUCGGCCACACUGGGACUGAGACACGGCCCAGACUCCUACGGGAGGCAGCAGUAGGGAAUCUUCCACAAUGGACGAAAGUCUGAUGGAGCAACGCCGCGUGAACGAUGAAGGCCUUCGGGUCGUAAAGUUCUGUUGUAAGGGAAGAACAAGUGCCGCAGGCAAUGGCGGCACCUUGACGGUACCUUGCGAGAAAGCCACGGCUAACUACGUG
rnacentral:rRNA from 1 species